GAUAGUCGAUGGAUAACAAGUUAAUAUUCUUGUACUUGCUUCAUUGUGAUGGGGUGACGAAGUAGUGAAAGAUCUGCGUACUGACGAACAUGUACGUUAAAAGGUGUAGGUAUAGCUUUGGUAGGAAAAUCCGCCAGAGUUUCUGAAACCCGAUAGUAUCGAGAGCCUUCGGGCAAUCGAAUAUGAUCCUAAUCCAACUUCCAAGAAAAACCCCUAAGCUUCAGAUGAAAGCAACCCGUACCGCAAACCGACACAGGUAGUCAAGGAGAGAAUCCUGAGGUGCUCGAGUGAACCGCGGCUAAGGAACUAGGCAAAUUGACCCUGUAACUUCGGGAUAAAGGGUACCCUCUUCGGAGGGUUUCAAUGAAGUGGCUCUGGCGACUGUUUAUCAAAAACACAUGGCUUUGCUAAAUCGAAAGAUGAUGUAUAAGGCCUGACACCUGCCCGGUGCUGGAAGGUUAAGAGGAGAGGUUAGAAGUAAUUCAAAGCUUUGAAUCGAAGCCCCAGUAAACGGCGGCCGUAACAAUAACGGUCCUAAGGUAGCGAAAUUCCUUGUCGGGUAAGUUCCGACCUGCACGAAUGGUGUAACGAUCUGAGCGCUGUCUCAGCCGCGAGCUCGGUGAAAUUGGAGUCUCGGUGAAGAUACCGGGUACCCGCAACGGGACGGAAAGACCCCAUGCACCUUUACUAUAGCUUAACAUUGACUUUGGAUAAAUCAUGUGUAGGAUAGAUGGGAGACUUUGAAGCGGUGGCGCCAGCCAUCGUGGAGUCAACGUUGAAAUACCAUCCUUGAUUUAUUCGGAGUCUAACCCCGCACAACGGGGGACAUUGUUUGGUGGGUAGUUUGACUGGGGUGGUCGCCUCCGAAAGAGUAUCGGAGGCUUUUAAAGGUACCCUCAGUACGCUUGGUAACCGUACGUAGAGUGCAUUAGCAUAAGGGUGCUUGACUGUGAGACCGACAAGUCGAGCGGGUCGAAAGACGGAUAAAGUGAUCCGGUGGUUCCGCAUGGAAGGGCCAUCGCUCAUAGGAUAAAAGGUACGCUGGAUAACAGGCUGAUCACUCCCAAGAGCUCAUAUCGACGGAGUGGUUUGGCACCUCGAUGUCGGCUCGUCACAUCCUGGGGCUGGAGAAGGUCCCAAGGGUUCGGCUGUUCGCCGAUUAAAGUGGCACGCGAGCUGGGUUCAGAACGUCGUGGGACAGUUCGGUCCCUAUCUGUUGUGGGCGUUAGAAGCUUGAGAGGACCUGACUCUAGUACGAGAGGACCGAGUCGGACAAACCGCUGGUAUAUCUGUUGUCGUGUCAACGGCAUUGCAGAGUAGCCAUGUUUGGUUGAGAUAAGCGCUGAAAGCAUCUAAGUGCGAAACUCGCCUCAAGAUAAGGCUUCUUUAUAAGGGUCGUAGGAGACUACUACGUUGAUAGGUUGUAAGUGUAAAGGCAGUAAUGUCAAAGCUGAGCAAUACUAAUUACCC
rnacentral:rRNA from 1 species